rnacentral:rRNA from 1 species
UACAGAGGGGGCAAGCGUUGUUCGGAAUUACUGGGCGUAGAGGGCGCGUAGGCGGCCUUCUAAGUCGAACGUGAAAUCCCCGGGCUCAACCCGGGAACUGCGUCCGAUACUGGAAGGCUUGAAUCCGGGAGAGGGAUGCGGAAUUCCAGGUGUAGCGGUGAAAUGCGUAGAUAUCUGGAGGAACACCGGUGGCGAAGGCGGCAUCCUGGACCGGCAUUGACGCUGAGGCGCGAAAGCCAGGGGAGCAAACGGG